rnacentral:tRNA from 1 species
GGGGAUUUAGCUCAGGGGUUCUGGCAUGUGCCUUGCAAGCACAAGGACCCAAGUUCAAUCCCCA